rnacentral:sRNA from 1 species
GGAGACUGUGCCGACAUGGAGCUGGGCCUCGCGGGCCGCCGGGUGCUGGUCACCGGGGCAGGCAAAGGUAUAGGGCGCGGCACGGUCCAGGCGCUGCACGCGACGGGCGCGCGGGUGGUGGCUGUGAGUCGGACUCAGGCGGAUCUUGACAGCCUUGUCCGCGAGUGCCCGGGGAUAGAACCCGUGUGCGUGGACCUGGGUGACUGGGAGGCCACCGAGCGGGCGCUGGGCAGCGUGGGCCCCGUGGACCUGCUGGUGAACAACGCCGCUGUCGCCCUGCUGCAGCCCUUCCUGGAGGUCACCAAGGAGGCCUUUGACAGAUCCUUUGAGGUGAACCUGCGUGCGGUCAUCCAGGUGUCACAGGUGAGCUGCCCUGUGGGCUGGACGGGAAUUCUCGUGAGUGAUGCCAGCUCUGCCUCACGGUCUCGCUGCAAUUCCAGAUUGUGGCCAGGGGCUUAAUAGCCCGGGGAGUCCCAGGGGCCAUCGUGAAUGUCUCCAGCCAGGGCUCCCAGCGGGCAGUAACUAACCAUAGCGUCUACUGUGAGUGCCCCAGCUGCGCCCUCAGCCCCACCCCCGCCACAGCCUCGCCCUCAUCACCGGCCCCAGCUCCAGCCAGCUUCGGUUCCUCUUCAUAGGCUCCACCAAGGGUGCCCUGGACAUGCUGACCAAGGUGAUGGCCCUAGAGCUCGGGCCCCACAAGGUGAGCAGGGCUGGGGUACCUCCCCCAACCUAGGGCACCCCACUUGCCCUGCUGACCCCAGCUGUCCCGGUGUAGAUCCGAGUGAAUGCAGUAAACCCCACAGUGGUGAUGACGCCCAUGGGCCAGGCCGCCUGGAGUGACCCCCACAAGGCCAAGACUAUGCUGGACCGAAUCCCACUUGGCAAGUUUGCUGAGGUAGAGCACGUGGUGGACGCCAUCCUCUUUCUGCUGAGUGACCGAAGUGGCAUGACCACGGGCUCCACUUUGCCGGUGGAAGGGGGCUUCUGGGCCUGCUGAGCUCCCUCCACACACCUCAAACCCCAUGCCGUGCUCAUCCUACCCCCAAUCCCUCCAAUAAACCUGAUUCUGCUGCCCA